UCGAGACCGAACGAACGGACGAUCGCGAACGAGUUACAUACUUGCUUACAAUAACAACUCCGCCUCGUCCCGCCGCGCCUCGCGGUGCGGCGUAGCGAGACGGAGGAAACUAAACCCGACGCGGUGGGCGCCAAGGAACACUUUUUAGAAGCGCCGUCGCGGCCUCCUCUUGCUCCUCCUCCUCCUCCUCCUCCCCAUACCUAUAUCGUAGGGAGGGAGGGAGGAAGGAAGGAAGGAGGGGGAACGCGGGCGUGGACAUAGAUAUCGUAUUUUGUACGACUCUCGGCAACGGAUAUCUAGGCUCUCGCAUCGAUGAAGAACGUAGCGAAAUGCGAUACUUGGUGUGAAUUGCAGAAUCCCGUGAACCAUCGAGUCUUUGAACGCAAGUUGCGCCCGAGGCCAUCCGGCCGAGGGCACGCCUGCCUGGGCGUCACGCCUCCCGUCGCUCCCCACAGCCGUGCGGAUGCGGAGAUUGGCCCACCGUGCCUCGUGCGCGGCGGGUCGAAGUGCGGGCCGUCGUCGGGCCGGGCGCGGCGAAUGGUGGACGAAAUACUUCGUUGUUUGUGCCUACUCUCCGUGCCCCGGCCCUCAACAAUGCGACGUGCCGCCGUCGGACCCCUCACCAAGGAAGGACCCUCUUGCUUGCUUGCUCGCUCGCGGCAAGGAAGGAAGGAGCCGUCCUCGGAACG
rnacentral:misc_RNA from 1 species